UACGGAGGAUGCAAGCGUUAUCCGGAAUGAUUGGGCGUAAAGCGUCCGCAGGUGGCUGUGUAAGUCUGCUGUUAAAGAGUCAUGCUCAACAUGAUAAGAGCAGUGGAAACUACACGGCUAGAGUGCGUUCGGGGCAGAGGGAAUUCCUGGUGUAGCGGUGAAAUGCGUAGAGAUCAGGAAGAACACCGGUGGCGAAAGCGUUCUGCUAGGCCGCAACUGACACUGAGGGACGAAAGCUAGGGGAGCGAAUGGG
rnacentral:rRNA from 1 species